rnacentral:rRNA from 1 species
GACUACACGGGUAUCUAAGCCCGUUCGCUCCCCACGCUUUCGCACCUGAGCGUCAGGCUAAUGCCAGGGUGCCGCUUUCGCCACUGAUGUUCCUCCCGAUAUCUACGCAUUCCACCACUACACCGGGAAUUCCACACCCCUCUCAUCGCCUCAAGCCAAGUAGUUUCCAACGACCGCUCCCGGUUAAGCCGGGAGAUUUCACGUCAGACUUUCUCAGCCGCCUGCGUGCGCUUUACGCCCAGUAAUUCCGGAUAACGCUUGUCACCUACGUAUUACCGCGGCUGCUGGCACGUAGUUAGCCGUGACUUAUUCUCAGGGUACCGUCCGCUCUCUUCCCCUGCAAAAGAAGUUUACAACCCAAGGGCCUUCAUCCUUCACGCGGCGUUGCUGGGUCAGGCUUGCGCCCAUUGCCCAAUAUUCCUCACUGCAGCCGCCCGUAGG